UUUUCCUGCCACCGAAUACAUUAGCAUGGGAUAAUGGAAUAGGACCCUGACCUCCUAUUUUCAGUUGGUUUUGUUUACAGCGAGGUUAUAUCAGGGUAAUGAUUAAUAGGGAUAGUUGGGGGCAUUAAUAUUUAAUUGUCAGAGGUGAAAUUCUUGGAUUUAUGAAAGAUUAACUUCUGCGAAAGCGUUUGCCAAGGAUGUUUUCAUUAAUCAAGAACGAAAGUUAGGGGAUCGAAGACGAUCAGAUACCGUCGUAGUCUUAACCAUAAACGAUGCCGACCAGCGAUUAGGAGACGUUGAAUACAAAACACCGCCGUUAAUCCUUUCGGGGGUUAAU
rnacentral:rRNA from 1 species